UUGAACUAUUUAGCUGAGCGCACGGUCUAAGCACCGGCGCCAUAUCCUUCAAAUGUCUGCCUUAUCAACUUUCGAUGGUAGAUUAUGCGCCUACCAUGGUUGUAACGGGUAACGGAGAAUCAGGGUUUGAUUCCGGAGAGGGGGCCUGAGAAAUGGCCACCACAUCCAAGGAAGGCAGCAGGCACGCAAAUUACCCACUCCCGGCACGGGGAGGUAGUGACGAAAAAUAACAAGCUGGUCUCUUUGAGUUCCGGCAUUGUAAUGGGAACAAUUUAAAUCAUUUAUCGAGGAUCUAUUGGAGGGCAAGUCUGGUGCCAGCAGCCGCGGUAAUUCCAGCUCCAAUAGCGUAUAUUAAAGUUGUUGCGGUUAAAAAG
rnacentral:rRNA from 1 species